GGAGAGAUGGUCGAGUGGUUUAAGGCAGCGGUCUUGAAAACCGCCGAUGCGCAAGCAUCCGGGAGUUCGAAUCUCCCUCUCUCCGCCA
rnacentral:tRNA from 1 species